rnacentral:rRNA from 1 species
UACGUAGGGUGCAAGCGUUGUCCGGAAUUAUUGGGCGUAAAGAGCUUGUAGGCGGUUUGUCGCGUCUGCUGUGAAAUUUCGGGGCUCAACCCCGAACUUGCAGUGGGUACGGGCAGACUAGAGUGUGGUAGGGGAGACUGGAAUUCCUGGUGUAGCGGUGAAAUGCGCAGAUAUCAGGAGGAACACCGGUGGCGAAGGCGGGAUUCUGGACCAAUAUUGACGCUGAGGAGCGAAAGCCAGGGGAGCAAACGGG